rnacentral:piRNA from 1 species
UGAAAUGGCAAAUGGGAACAGUUCUAAUGU